rfam:Salmo salar isolate Sally breed double haploid chromosome ssa24, whole genome shotgun sequence.
AAAAUGAAUAACUGUAAGUCGCUCUGGAUAAGAGCGUCUGCUAAAUGACUCAAA